GCGGUUAUACGGGAGGCCCAAGUUGUUAGAAGUCGGCGUAAAGGGUGGUUAAGAGCAAACUUAAAAUUAAAGCCGAACACCUUCCAAGCUGUUAUACGCCUCCGGAGGCAAGAAGCUCAAUUACGAAAGUAGCUUUAUAUUUUCUGAACCCACGAAAGCUAAGACA
rnacentral:rRNA from 1 species